CUUUAUUCCUGGGACUUAAAAGCUUGACUAUCCACGGUAAGUCGAUGACCAGUGCCCAUGGCGUGAACAGCUCUGACACCAGAGUUGACAACAAAAACAGGAGUGUUUGCAUUUCUGGGGCCUCAAGAAAUGGGGAGGUUCUCCCAAGUACACUGACAGGGGUAUUGUUCCCCUAUUUUAGAAUUAUUACCCCAAGAUCAGCAAAUUGAAGUAAGUUGGUUGAUCUCACGCCACAGCACCUGUGCUUUUCCAGCAAGGGAGGGAUGGAGUCCAAUGCAGGAGUCCCCGUCACAGAGAAAACCACUGUGAUGGGAUGUCUAUUUGGGAAUUAGGACACAAAGGCAGAUGGGAUAGGGUGGGGAGUCUACAUAUUUUUUAUUUGGAUGCUUUGAUGGAUUAAAGUUCCAAAACAAGUGUGUAUUGGGCAGAGGGCAGUCUGGGCUGUGGUUCUGCUCUGUGAGGCUGGGAGUCCAGGCAGGUCCUGUGUCCACUGGUUCACUUUUACAGCCUGAAGCCCCUCGGCAGGACAUCUGCACAGAGGCCUGCAAGUGACUCCAGGGUGCUAAUGAUGCCCACAAGGCGAAAGCCAGAGAAAAUCCCAUCGACUCUGCUAACCAGGGCACCCGUGGCCACCAGUGCGGUUUUAUCCUGCAAAGAACAAACCAGUUUGCAAACCACGCUUUGAGGCCAGAGGCAUGGCGGUACUCACCAGUGUCUCCUGAAGGCUGGAGCCUCCGAGGGUUGAUUCAAAAACUGUAUUUUCUUAUAAAAUGUAGUAACAUUUGAACCUUAAAAAAGGGCUAGGGAAUAAGCUUAUCUAGCCUCUCAUGUAAUUUUGUAACUGAGUGGGAUGAAGGCUGAGGAACAAAGGCAUCUGGCGCCAGCACCCCUGCUGAUCUCUGUCCUCCCGGGGCUUGCCUGUGUUGGGAGUCUCUCCAGCAAAAUCAGGCUGCAGAAAUGAGAUUCUAGUUAAACAAGGCCCACUGUUGCUUUAAGAUGAAAUGUCAAAGUUUUAAAAAAUGUAUUAACUUGCUCUUUUGGCCAAGAGAUAAACAGAUGUACUUCCUUCUACUCCACAGGCAUUGAGUUGACAGAGAAGAGCUUGAAUCAUCAACAUGGCGUGAGUGACCACAUCCCUCACUCUGAGCCCCACUCCACAGCAGAUGACUCUGAAUCGCCCCGGCUAACGGCGUGCCCAGCAUCCUGAUGCUCUGAUUAGUCCUGAAUCACCCGAGGGCGGGCGGUGCGGUGGCUGGGCUGUCUCAGAGGGCAUCGCGGGCUGGGUGGACGAGGCUGGCCCAGAAGAGGGCAACAAGCAUUUGACAGGGAGUGGCAGGCUACCAUCUUGCCUCUUCUGCAGUUUGCGACACUUAGGGUCAUGAGUGUUUUUCCUCACACUAAGGAAGGAGACCACUACUCCUCCUGAUGCCCUCCUUCCCCCCACCUUGCCUAGUUCACAAAACAGGAAGAGAGAAAAAGCAAAAAGUUGGAAAAAAACAAAAGUAAGAUAAAUAGCCAGAUAACCUUGGCACCACCACCCGGCCCUAGGAGUUAAAAAAAGUGAUAAUAAUAACAUCAACCCCUGACCUAAACUACUUGUGUAAAUUCCAGACACUGUAUGAAAAAAGCAUUGUAAAACUUUCUGUUCUGUUAGCUGAUGCCUGUAGCCCCCAGUCACGUUUCCCACGCUUGCUUGAUGUACUACGACCCUUUCACGUGGACCCCUUAAAGUUGUAUGCCUUUAAAAAGGCCAAGAAUUUCUUUUUCAGGGAGCUCAGCUCUUAAGACUCAAGUCUGCCAAUGCUCCUGGCUGAAUAAAAACCUCUUCCUUCUUUAAUCCGGUGUUUGAGGAGUUUUGUCUGCGGCUUGUCCUGCUACAAUACAGUGGCCCGAAAGGCAAGGAAACUCCCGCAAGCGUUCAGAAAGGCUGCGGGUUUUUCAGGUAACAUUUCUGCAGCCACUGAUGUCUGACCCAAAGAGCUCUGAAUGCUUGCCAGAGAGAUGUGUAGUUCUAAUCCCAAAGCCCUGAAUGUUCUGAUUUCCUCAUUAAGACUGACUUAACAUGAGCUAUUUAGUCAGCUGAGUUAUCAACUGAAGAAAGUAACCGGUGUUUCCCACUUAUUUUCUUCUGUGGUUGUUUGAAAACAGCCGUGGUGUGGACAGAGUUCAUGCAGCCUUGAUGGUGGUGUGUCCCCAGCUCCACGCACGCACUAAACCUUUAAUUCAUUUCAGCAUAAAUAAGUUAAUGAAUAUGCAUACAUGAAUAAAUUAACUGGCAUAGUUUUAGUCCUAUUGAAGUUUUAAACUCACCAAUUUAUCCAACUUCUCUGCACUGAGUUUUUAUUCAAGUGAACUAUUCCAGUCUUGUGACUUCUGAUAUAAUAAUAGUAACGACUAAUAUUUAUUAGAACUUUAGUUUACCAAGCACUCCACAUUUUAUUUUUACAUUUUGUCUUCACAAACCCCCAUGAGACAGGCAUUCUCACCACUCGCAGUGUUGAUUGGCAUGCAGAGGCUCAGGGGUUUAAAUGGUUUCACUGAAGCAAUGUGAUCCGGUAGGAUGUUGCUUUCCUAUUCCUCCUAAUACCACCGUGUUCAGACAUGGGCAGCCGAGUGAGAAUAGAUCAUUUCAUGUGUGUGUAUAGACGUAACCUACACUCACAGGCGGAAAGCUGUGCAGGCUGAGAAGUGAAGCCCUCGGCUGAAUGACCAACAACAGCGUUCUAGGACCCCUUGUCCUUGCUCCGCAGGCUACACCCCUCACAUCUCCUCUGAACCAGAAAGAAAACUCUGCGGUUGCUUCUCCCUUUGACAGUCAGCCACAGUUCUCUUCAAUGUUCUCCUGGGGACUUGGGUCAAUGUUCUCCCGUCAAAUCUUAGCCAGGCCCAAGAUUACUGUGCCCCCCACCCCCCGCAGAUCUGUCAGGACACACUACUGCCCCAGAUGUAUUUGGUCGCCCCAUCUGUGUCCUAUCUGCCGUCCGUGCCUCUGGCCAGGCUUCUUGUGAGGUCCUGACUCACGCUGUCACUCUCAGGUUGUUUGCCUGUGGCUGGACACAUUGUUCAUAGGAGCCCAGCUGGCAAAGCAAAAAUACCUGAGACUGUGAUGGCAAGCUGCUUGUUCCCUGCAUCCUUGGCUGGCGAGAAGCUGAAGAGAAGUGAAAGCUCUACCUGUGAAGAGGCAGCAUUGCAGAAGGGAGGAGGUGGAGAUUCUGUCCUCAGUGCCUAGGGCCCUGCCUGGAUCUGGUUUUGCAGAGGGGAGGACGUAGAGAUUCUGUCCUCAGUGCCCAGGGCCCUGCCUGGAUCUGGUUUUGCAGAGGGGAGGACGUAGAGAUUCUGUCCUCAGCGCCCAGGGCCCUGCCUGGAUCUGGUUUUGCAGCUCCAGGGGAAACGUUUUGCACAAAUUCUCACUGGGAGCAUUAUCAGGGCUGCAGCACUUCAGUCUCUCCUGAUCUGAAUCCUUUUAACAUUAGCUGUGAUGCUGAGAAGGAUGAAAUUGAUGACACCAACAUCUGGUGGAAGACAAAAACCAGAGGGAUUUCCACCCAGGCAGAGCCCCUCCGCAGGCCUCCCCUCUUUGUGGCCUGAGGUCGGAGAGGCCUCUGGAGCAAGCCAGCGGAUGGAAUUCUCAGUUUUCUUCCAUUUGAUUAUUUUCCUAUUUUGACGUCUUUGAAAAAUGGCUCAGCCUUAUGGUGCAUGCGUUUUCUGAUUGCUUUUGUCUUUGUUUUAUUCUGAAUCAAGGACCGUGGCCACUGUGGGCUCCUCAUCCAGGACGUGGGGGCCCUCCGGGGCCUCAGUCCAUCCAUGCUGCAGUACAUGGUGAUUCUCAUGCAGAGGAUGAUCUCAGGGAUCAGCUUGAGCUGGCAGAGAAUUAAAUUAUAUGGUUUAUAAGAGUCCUGCCUCAGGGUCAGUGACACCAGGCCUGUCUCUGCUGCUAGCAAGGCCGACUUUCUUAUGUGCUGUCAUCGUGGUAAAAGCCUUGCCCACGUGAUGAAGACCCUGGACGGCUCUACUUGAGACAGAUUUCAGCUACGUUGCCUGGGAGUCUCUGGUACUUCUUCAAGGUUCUACUGAAGACAAUGACGUCAUCCAAGUACCUUGCAGUGCCUAAGUAGCUCUUGCCGCGGGAGCUCUGAGACCCCCUGUUAUCUAUUUUCGAAUUGGCCAAGGACCCCCGGCCAGGCAGGGGAUGCUCUGCCCAUCCUCGUCAGCCCUCGUGUCUUGUGAUCCUCCCCCAGCCUCCUGGCAAGCAUCCCUGUGCUUUCCGCGGGUGAGCGUGGCUGAGCUCAGUCUCGCUUACUACAACGGCAGGCACGAGGUCUGCGGAACUAAGAAGGCUCCUCUUUGCUCACUGGCCUUUCCUUUAAGUCCCUGGUCACUAACCUCUGGCAAGACAAUCCUUCUUGUGUUUUCUGGCGAUGGACUUGAGUGAUUACAAUGUAAGCGGUGGCUCCUCCUGGGGGCACGUCCAUUUUCUACCAUGAGGAGGGCGUUGCCCCUGCCAGGCUGCUGCUGUCCUCUCGUAUGCCCACCGGGCCGUCCCCCAAGAUGGCUUGGUACCCACACUGCCUGGGAAUUGCCACUCCUGCUUGUCCCGGACCCACCUCCCCUGCAGCCAUCCCGCACUCUUGAGGGGCCGGGCCCUGGCUGAGCGCUGUUCCUAGGCCCUGGAUGGCGGUGUGGAUCUCCGUCCUUGUCAGGGUAAUUUCCUCUUCUGUUUCCAGCAUUUCGAGUAAAUUCCUUUCUAAUCAUUAGGUGCCCUAGAGAGGACAGAUGCAUGGCUGUGGAGUCUUGUUCUGUGAUAUGUCAGGUAUGUGCUUGGGCGCGCGGAGGCUGCAGGAGGUGGACAGGAAUGGUCUUUCUCUUGCUCUGAGUCGCAUGUGUGGGCCAGCCCACGGGUUCUGUGGAGGAGAAUCCAGCUGCCCACCUGGCUGAGUCUAGCCCUGGGCUGGCGAUGGCCGAACCCCAGUUCCAUUCCCGGACCUUCCCUAGGCUGCUGGGUGGGUUCCCUGGCCACUGUCGCUGGGCUAAUCCAUUCUAUCUUCUCCUGGGGCGAGGCCAUUGCCGUGCUGUGCUGGUGCUGGCUCUUCAGGCAGCUCUUCAGCUCCGUGGCUCCCGGCCCAGCCCAGGCCUAACACAGGCCUGUCCCUAGUGUUCGUGCACUGAGCUUUGUGUCUAUUGCUGGUUUUUCUUUUCUUUUAAAACUUACUUCGCAGAAGGAAUUCGGCCUGAGCAGCUGAGCUUCCGUGGUAGCCUCUCCUGCUCAAAGCCGUCGUUUGCUCCCAUAUACCUGGCCUGCCAGUUUCCAUUCUCUCUUUCCCUUGUUUCAUCUUUUCUGCAGUAGGUCCUCUAGUUUCAACCACAGGUGUUUACAGUGUUGCAGUUUUAAUUUGUCGUUGUUGCAUUUAGUUUACUUGACGCACGUUCAAAACUGCAAAAUGCUGGUUCCUACCCGUCUCUGAUGUCACCAAAGGCUGCCCAGAGGCCUGCAGCACAUUGACGAUGGUCUUAGUAUUACACAGCUGUCUGACCAGUACCACAAAUCCAGAGUCCAAGCAGCUCAGGUUUGCCUUCUCCCUGUCUGUGUGGGUCCAGCGCCCUGGGCUCAGCAGGGCCUCCUGCUCCUGCUCCUGUAGGGUGGGCUGGGCCUUCCCACACGGGCCUGGGGAGGAGCCUCUCCUAGGUGCUGGCAGGGCCCUGGCCUUUACUUAUUCCCUCUGAUGCCAGCCAGCUACUGCAGCCCUGGUGGCGUCUCCCUGGGGGUGCCCGGGUGCAGGUGUCCGCUGCCGGGCCGUGGGUGUCUCAUUCUGUGUCCGGACCUCUCUGUGAUGUGAACCUUGGGCUUUUUUUUUUUUUUUUUUUUUUUUUCAGAUGUUAAGGGAGUCCACCACAUGUUUCCAUGGUAACGGCUCCUUUUCCUGGUUUACUGGAGGGUUCUGACGGUCAAGGCCUCCUGUGUAUUGACUGGGUUAUCGCCUGGGGGUUUUAUUGCUUUGUCUUUUACAUUUAGUUUUACUGUUCCUGGAACUGAAUUUGUUUGUGAUGUGAGUCAGAAAUCCUGUCACAUUUUUCCACGUGGAUAUCCAGGGCCCCCGCCGUUUGUGGGAAGGCCGCACCUUCUGCCCGCUCUGCUGUCCAUCCGCGUGCCCAUCUCCAUGGGUUUCUCUCUGCACGGCUUGUUCUGUCCUGCAUGUCCAUCCUUGAGAUCGUUUUUCUCUGGCUUAAUGAUUACAGCUGUACGUUUCAUUUUCAUGGCUGGGAUCUGCAGGACGAGCUUACAUAUAGGUAAUGAUAAUGGACUUCCUUGCUUCAUUUUCCAUCUCAGGAUGGACAGUGUUCAACCUUCUAUGACUAAUUACAGCCAUGCUGUAGGCUUUUCAUAGAUACCCUUUUUUUUUGACUCAGGAAUUACAUUCUCUUCUUAUUCCUGGUUUGCUAAACCUUUUGUAUUAAUGGUGUCAACUAUGAAUAUAUAUUGCAUUUCAUCAAAUACUUUUUUUCUGCAUCAAUCAAUACGAUUUAUCUUUCUUCUGUUAAUAUGGUGAUUUACAUUAAUUUGUCUUAGAAUGUUCAUUUCUUUCAGGUCCUUGCUGAUUUUUUUGCCUGCCUUUUCCAUUAGUUCCUGAGACAAGCAUUUUAAAACCAAACAACAUAACUGAGGAGCUGUCUGUCACCCUUCGUGAUUCUGAAAACACGUGCUGCAUGUGUUUUGAGGUUGUUAUUUGGAGCAUGUGCAUUUACAAUUGUCUUACUGCCUUUGCAGUUUGAGUUUUUAUUAAAUGUUUCUCUUCAUCUCUGGUCAUGCUUUAUGCCGUAGAGUCUGUUAUUAGCAGAGCUACUCCAGGUUUAUUUUUCAUGAUAUUAUUUUCACUUCUUUUUACUUUCCAACUUUUAUAUCAUUAUGUUGAAGGUAUCUCUUUUGUUAAUCACAUAGUUGCAUUGUGUUUUCUUUUUUCAAAUAUGUAUGAGCAGCAUAAAAUUGGAUGUUCCUUUGAAACAACAGCAGUCAGAAGUCCAUGAGGAGGUGUCUUCUGACUGCGAGGAUAAGGGUGGAUCACCUUAAUGCAAUCAGGGAAUGAUGUGUUAGAAGCAUCUAUAGUUCCUGCUUCCCCUAAUUUCUAGCUGUAGCCAUUUGAAGAUUCUAAGCAAGUCCUCAACUGUUCAGCAGAGCCUCUGGUCCAGCAUGAGACCAAAACCCAGGCUCCCAGUUUCUCCGCCUGUGCUGAGACCUUGUUUCCCAGGACCUCGGUGGACUUGGCUUUCAUGACUGGUGCCUCACCCCAGCACAUGUGCCUAAAAUAACAGAAAAAUACAGUGCCUGCAUGUUGGGAGCAAGCCCCCCAAAGUCUGGCCCCAAAACUGGCCAUAAAUAAAAUCUCUGCAGCAAUGUAACAUGUCCAUAAUGGCCAUAAAGCCCAAGCUGGAAGGUUGUGGGUUUACAGGAAUGACGGUAAGGAACACCUGGCCCGCUCAGGGCGGAAAACUGGUUAAAGGCAUUUUUAAGCCAUAAACAAUUAGCCUGAGCGAUCUGUGCCUUAAGGGCGUGUUCCUGCUGCAAUUAAUUCAGCCCAUCCCUUCGUUUCCCUUAAGGGAUACUUUCAGUUAAUUUAAUAUCCAUAGAAACAAUGCUAAUGACUGGUUUGCUGUUAAUAAAUAUGUGGGUAAAUCUCUGUUCGGGGCUCUCAGCUCUGAAGGCUGUGAGACCCCUGAUAUCCCACUUUACACCUCUGUAU
rnacentral:lncRNA from 10 species